rnacentral:rRNA from 1 species
UACGUAGGGUGCAAGCGUUGUCCGGAAUUAUUGGGCAUAAAGAGCUCGUAGGCGGUUUGUCGCGUCGAAUGUGAAAACCCGGGGCUCAACCCCGGGCCUGCAUUCGAUACGGGCAGACUAGAGUUCGGUAGGGGAGUCUGGAAUUCCUGGUGUAGCGGUGAAAUGCGCAGAUAUCAGGAGGAACACCGGUGGCGAAGGCGGUUCUCUGGGCAUUACCUGACGCUGAGGAGCGAAAGUGUGGGGAGCGAACAGG